AUGCAUGCAAGUUGAGCGAAGCUUUUUGGUAGUUUACUACUAGAAAUGACUGAGCGGCGGACGGGUGAGUAACGCGUAGGAAUCUACCUAGUAGAAGGGGAUAGCCCGGGGAAACCCGGAUUAAUACCGUAUACCUCCUUCGGGAGAAAGAAGGCCUCUCUUUGAAGCUUUCGCUACUAGAUGAGCCUGCGUAAGAUUAGCUUGUUGGUGAGGUAAAGGCUCACCAAGGCGACGAUCUUUAGCUGGUCUGAGAGGACGAUCAGCCACAUUGGGACUGAGACACGGCCCAGACUCCUACGGGAGGCAGCAGUGGGGAAUAUUGG
rnacentral:rRNA from 1 species